rnacentral:rRNA from 1 species
GAGACCCACGCCAACAGUUGCCAGCAUGUCCUCCGGGAUGGUGGGGACACUGUUGGGACCGCCUCUGCUAAAGAGGAGGAAGGAAUGGGCAACGGUAGGUCAGCAUGCCCCGAAUUAUCCGGGCUACACGCGGGCUACAAUGGUCAGGACAAUGGGUAUCGACACCGAGAGGUGAAGGCAAUCUCUUAAACCUGUCCUUAGUUCAGAUUGUGGGCUGCAACUCGCCCACAUGAAGCUGGAAUCCGUAGUAAUCGCGUCUCAAAAUGGCGCGGUGAAUAU